CAAUCUCCCCUCGGCCUCAGCAAGCACUGGCCCGGCGGGACUUGGAGAGCGGGCGGUCCCGGGGAAUCCUGGCUCGGUUCUGCCCCAGCUCGGUCCGCCAGCGCGGUGGCCGCCUCCUCUGGGCACGUGGGCGAAACAGCCGCAGCGUCCGCCACCAGACCCCACGCAUCACGGUCGGGACCGUGGGCUCGGACCCCCACUCCCAACUCACCUCUAGGCCGGAAGUAGGAAGGCGGAAGCCGCUGCUUUCCCGUCCCACCCACAGGCCGGCCCCAGCCCUGAAUGGGCCUGAGGAAGUCGAGGGGCCAGUUUCCGGCUGCGCCAUUGUUGCGUGGGUCCCGGGACCUAGACUUCCAGGAUUCGUGGGGGCAGAGGGGCGGGGUAGGGCGGCACCCGGCUUACCGGCGAGCGGCAGGUGAGGCCUCGCGGGGUGUGUGGCGGCGCCUCGGCUGCCCUCAGGCCGGGAUCCCGUGUCCGGCGCUUCCUGCUGGGAUCAAGGGGCGAGCGUGGAGUCGCGGGUGGGCUCAGGCCCUCAGGAGCCGGUCCGGACCUCAGAGUGCCCUCUGCUUUGCCUGAUGUCAGCCAGGGCACAGCCCCCUCCUCUGCUGGAGCCACACCGUUGAUGGACGGCCCCGGUGGGUGAGGUCUGUAGCCCCUGGAAACAGACCCAAGAGCGGCGGCAGGAAAGGAGUUGAUCUCCACAAACCGCCCGAAGCCAAGGAACUGAGAGAUUAACUCUGGUUUGGUUGGUGACCAAAUGUUGUGAUUGCUUGCACUGAACGGCUCUGUCUGACUACCUCUGCGAAUGUUGCAAGACCUCUUCACAUUUGAGUGCCAAAUAAAGCAGGUUUUUAUUCUCGAAA